rnacentral:rRNA from 1 species
GACAGAGGGUGCGAACGUUGUUCGGAAUUACUGGGCGUAAAGCGCGUGUAGGCGGCAGCGCAAGUCGGGCGUGAAAUCCCACGGCUCAACCGUGGAAGUGCAUCCGAAACUGCUGAGCUUGAGUACGAAAGAGGAUCGCGGAAUUCCCGGUGUAGAGGUGAAAUUCGUAGAUAUGGGGUGGAACACCGGUGGCGAAGGCGGCCAUCUGGACGACAACUGACGCUGAGACGCGAAAGCGUGGGGAGCAAACAGG